AUGAUAAUCAUCCGAUACAACAGUGAGUUCACUGGGGCAAACAACACAAUCAUGCCUAAAAUAGAAAACAGGAGAAAAAAUGCCAGCAGCACCGAAUCAAUGAAAGGUACAGUAUCCCGCAACCCUGCGCCCACCAGAGAAUUUCACCACGCUCUUAUGCCAUCGAAUUACCAUGUACCAAGCAACACCUUCAAGAAUAACUGCAACGACGACGACGCUGCUGCCCGGACAAGUCCUAGGAUUUUUUUCCGGUACACGGAAGGGAGUGGGGGAGAGGUACACCCGACGCCCUUCAAGAAGGGUGGCGCCCACAGAUGUCACCACGUUGGUGCCGACCAGAUCUGA
rnacentral:rRNA from 1 species